UUGGUCUCUGUGCUCGGCUAAGCCCUGAGUGCAGCAGGUGCGACUCCAGCGUCGGCACUCCCAGCUGGAUGGCGCCAGAAGUCGUGAGAGGAGAAGCCUACGGCCCCAAAGUGGACAUCUGAUCCCUGGGGAUCACGGGGCUGGAGAUGGUGGAAGGGGAAGCUCCUUACCAGAGGGAGCCCAAGUUCAGGGUUUUGGACUGAUCGAAAGGAACGGGCCCCCAAAACUGCAAAACCCCAGGCACCACUCGGCUCUCCUGCGCGACUUUCUGCGCUGCUGCCUGCAGGCAGACGAAGACAGGCGCUGGUCUGCCCAGGAGCUCCUGCAGCAUCCGUUUGUGACCUCAGGCCAGCCCGCCUCCAGCCUGGCUGCUCUCAUCGUCUCAGCCAAGCAAGUGCAGGAAGACUGGAGAGGAGAGGCUUGCGCCUGAGGAAGCCUUUGUGCCACGCCAGCUCCGAGGAGUGCAAAGGGGAUGGAUGGUGUUUAGGCAGAGAGUCAGCCAUCCCCUGGACUUUCUGAGGAGCUGAGCCACGCAGAGGAAAAUUUCAUCUUUUGUUGUUUUCUUAGCUUUGCCGUUUUUAGUUAGGAUGCUACAGCAUAGCAAUCUUCAUUAAUGUAUAGCUAAGGGUAGAGUAUUGUUGUCGUAGGGAAGCUUAGAAGUAGCCUUUUAGGAGAAUAGAGAGAAUUGUCAUAGUAAGAAUGAAGCUAUCAAAGCAAAAGCAAAAACUCAGCAGAACCGAAGCAUGCACGUGCUACGAGCUGUCAGCCUGAACAGGCUACCUGGAGGAGAGAAUGAUGAAGAUGAUGAAGUAGCCAGAAGAGGCUCUGUUUCAGCCCUGGGUUUCAGCAAGACUGGCAAUAAAAACC